UUUAUUAACUUGGUGACUGUGGGUGUUCUUUACAAUGACUAUCUAAGAGCUUAUAUAAUGCUCUGGAAACUAAGUCUAACGUUCAUAAGAAGAAAAGAAAGGAAACAAAUCAAGCAAACUAACAAAAUCGGAAACUAGCCGUUGGAGCCUUUUAUGGGAUUUUGGCUCAAAGUGAGAAACUUGAUUCUUCUUGAACCUGGACGGUUUGAGAGGAUAAGAGAGCUUCCUUGGGAUAUUCCUGGGUGCUUGAUAGGUACUGAUGUCGUGCCUGAUCUGAAGA
rnacentral:lncRNA from 1 species